rnacentral:lncRNA from 1 species
CCACACACCAAGCCCUGCUGCAGAGUAAUUGGUUCCCACAGCUAUCAGAGGUGCAGUUUAUCCUUGAAUGGUGCUCGCUCAUGCUGUCCAGGAGACAAGGACUCUGGGUUAAAGUAUAGGAUUCAGGACUCUAGGUCUAAACAGACCCAGGUGUUAAAUGCCCAAGAUUAUCGACCAAAGUAGGAAAAAGAUGUAGGGAUUAGAGAUUCAGGAAAAGCUAUUUCCUCUAAGAUUUUCAUGGUUCUGAAUGGAGCAUCUGGGGAGAAAAUUCAUUUGGGGGUUGCUAAGAGGCCAAGAGAAGGGAAAAUGGAAAGGACGCUAGCGUGACACAUGGUGGGACAUGCAGGGAGGGGCAAUGGACCCAGGCUUGAUUCAGAUGCCAACUUGCCAUGCCCUGGCUAUGUGUAAGCCAAAAAUGUAUCUGAGACAGGCCUCAAUCAAUUUAUUUUGCAAGGUUAAGGAUCAUGACCCACGGCCUUAGGAGGGCCUGAGAACAUGUGCCCAAAGUGGUUGGGUUACAGCUUGGUUUUGUAUUUUUAGGGAGAUAUAAGACAUCAAUCAAUAUGUGCGAGGUAUACAUUGGAUUGGUCUGGAAAAGUGGGACAACUUGAAGCAUGGGCUUACAGGUCAUAGGUGAAUUCAAAGGUUUUCUGAUUGGCAAGUGGCUGAAAAGAGUUAAGUUACUAUCUAAAAGCCUGGAAUCAAUAGAAAGGAGUGUCUGGGUUAAGAUAAGGGGUUGUGGAGAUCAGAGUUCUUAUUAUGUAGAUAAGUCUCACAGAAGGCUGCCCUUAGAAGCAAUAGAUGGCAAAUGUUUCCUAUUCAGACCUUUCAAAGGUCCUAGACUCAGCCAGGCGCGGUGGCUCACGCCUGUAAUCCCUGCACUUUGGGAGACCGAGGUGGGCGGAUCACCUGAGGUUGGGCGUUCAAGACCAGCCUGACCAACAUAGAGAAACCCCUUCUCUACUAAAAAUACAAAAUUAGCCGGGUGUGGUGGCGCAUGCCUGUAAUCCCAACUAGGCAGAGGUUGCAGUGAGCCAAGAUCAUGCCAUUGCACUCCAGCCUGGGCAACAAGAGCGAAACUCUGUCUCAAAAAAAAAAAAAAAUAUGCUAGACUCUCAGCUAAUCUCUUCAGGAUCAGAAAAGGACCUUGAAAGAAUGUAAAUUCCCACACCCCCUUCCCACAAGAGACAGCUUUGCAGGGCCAUUUCAAAAUAUGUCAGUAAGAUAUAUUUGGGGUAAAAUAUUUCCAUUUCCUUCAGGGCCUGCUAUCUGUCAUCUGAUGUUAUACCUGACUCAGGUUGAAAUUGUUACUGUAUUGCUACAAAGAGUCUGUUUUGUCAGUUUUAAGAUCUCUGUUUGAAUGUUAAUGCUGGUUUGUGGCAUCUAAACUCCAAAAGGGAGCAAGUAGAAUGAAGCACGUCUGACCCCUACUUGCCAUAUAGCCUGGACUAGUUUUUUAGGUUUCUUUGGAAUCCCGUUGUCUGAGAAGGAGGCCCAUUCAAUUACUUAGGGGGCUAGGAAUUUUCUUUGUGGUUGACGUUCAUAAUCUUAAUGGCGGCUUAAACUCUCUGACCCUUACUUUCUAUGAAAUAAUGGAAAAUCUCACAGGUAAGAUACUGUAGAUGAAGUCACCUAGGACAUAGUAGUUAUUUGAUAAAUUUUCUUUUCCUUCUUUCAUCCCCUGAAAAUGAACCAAACCUCACACCCUUUCCUCUCUUUACUCACAACCCAAACAUAAGAAAUGAAUGUGAAGGUUCAUAAAGAGCACAUGUCACUUUUAGAAAAGAUAAACUCAAUAUUUUUAGUACCACUUAUAAACAAUAAAUUUUCAUUCAAAAUAUUUACUUGCUAUAUAAACAGCUACCAGUUUAAUUUCAAUGGGAAAAACUAUUCUUAGCAUAUGUUUGAUGAGCAAAAUGUGGACAGAAAAAAAAGUCCUACUGACUAAGUCCUGGAGAAGAUGAACACUCUUGUAUACGUUCAACAAUGGGUGUGUAAGUUAAUUGUAGAGAGCUCUUUUUUAGGGAGCAUUGUAAAUUACCUUGGAUCUCAAAAUUUCACUUCUGGAAAUGUAAAUAGUAAUCAUAAAUAUCC